UAAUUUAUCCCUGACUCUGGUCCAGAUAGAAAUUAAACAGGAUAACUUUUAGAGGCCUGAUACAGCAGUAUGUAUUAACCAAUUAAAGUAGUUCGAGGCAAUAAAAGUUGCCCACAACCAUAGAGACUGGCCAUCAAUUACUUUAAGAUGCUACGCAGCCAUUAUCCUGAGCUGACAUGCAGCUGAUUACACCAUUUCUAAGACAGAAGUCCUCAUGGUCACCUUAGUUCCUUUGGAAGCUGAGGUUGACCAGAAGAGGAAAAUGAGAAUCACAAUGACGGAGAAGCUGUAGCCUUAGCUUAAGGAGGAGGCACUCAUUUAAGGACCAAUCACUCUUCUACCUAGAGAGCAGAAGGUUCUGGAAAACCUUCAAAGACCUCCUCUUCUCUCCUCAAUAACUCUUCCAGUCUGCUCAAGGGAAAAUUGCCCUCCUUGGUAACUUUAGUCAAUCAAUUUACCCUAGGAGAAAAUAAAAUAAGAUUUUCUAUUUCAUAGUCCAUCUGCAGAUUUUGCCUUUUAAAAUUCUACCUUUCGGAGAGACAGUCUACAUAUGA
rnacentral:lncRNA from 1 species